rnacentral:rRNA from 1 species
GUGGGGAAUCUUAGACAAUGGGGGAAACCCUGAUCUAGCCAUGCCGCGUGAGCGAUGAAGGCCUUAGGGUUGUAAAGCUCUUUCAGCUGGGAAGAUACUGACGGUACCAGCAGAAGAAGCCCCGGCUAACUCCGUGCCAGCAGCCGCGGUCAUACGGAGGGGGCUAGCGUUGUUCGGAAUUACUGGGCGUAAAGCGCACGUAGGCGGAUCAGAAAGUCAGAGGUGAAAUCCCAGGGCUCAACCUUGGAACUGCCUUUGAAACUCCUGGUCUUGAGGUCGAGAGAGGUGAGUGGAAUUCCGAGUGUAGAGGUGAAAUUCGGAGAGAUUCGGAGGAACACCAGUGGGGAAGGCGGCUCACUGGCUCGAUACUGACGCUGAGGUGCGAAAGCGUGGGGAGCAAACAGGAUUAGAAACCCGGGUAGUCC